rnacentral:rRNA from 1 species
GACGAACGCUGGCGGCGUGCUUAACACAUGCAAGUCGAACGGAAAGGCCCUGCUUUUGUGGGGUGCUCGAGUGGCGAACGGGUGAGUAACACGUGAGUAACCUGCCCUUGACUUUGGGAUAACUUCAGGAAACUGGGGCUAAUACCGGAUAGGAGCUCCUGCUGCAUGGUGGGGGUUGGAAAGAUUCGGCGGUUGGGGAUCGACUCGCGGCUUAUGAGCUUGUUGGUGGGGUAGUUGCUUACCAAGGGUGUGAAGGGUAGCCGGCAUGAGAGGGGGGCCGGCCACAUUGGUCCUGCGAUACGGCCCAGACUCCUACGGGAGGCAGUAGUGGGGAGUCUGGCAGAAUGGGCGGAAGCCUGAUGCAGCAACGCCGCGUGCGGGAUGACGGCUUUCGGGUUGUAAACCGCUGUCGCCUGUGACGAAGCGUGAGUGACGGUAAUGGGUAAAGAAGCACCGGCUAACUACGUG